AGGGCACCACCAGGAGUGGAGCCUGCGGCUUAAUUUGACUCAACACGGGAAAACUCACCCGGCCCGGACACUGGAAGGAUUGACAGAUUGAGAGCUCUUUCUUGAUUCAGUGGGUGGUGGUGCAUGGCCGUUCUUAGUUGGUGGAGUGAUUUGUCUGGUUAAUUCCGAUAACGAACGAGACUCUAGCCUACUAAAUAGAUCGUCGGCUUACAAACGCCGGCGAGACUUCUUAGAGGGACAGGCGGUGAUUCAACCGCACGAAACAGAGCAAUAACAGAUCUGUGAUGCCCUUAGAUGUCCGGGGCCGCACGCGCGCUACACUGAAGUGAUCAGCGUGCUUUUUCAACCUACUCUGUCAAGAGUGGGGAACCCAAUGAACCUUCUUCGUGAUUGGGAUAGGGGAUUGUAAUUGUUCCCCUUGAACGAGGAAUUCCCAGUAAGCGCGAGUCAUAAGCUCGCGUUGAUUACGUCCCUGCCCUUUGUACACACCGCCCGUCGCUACUACCGAUUGAAUGUUUU
rnacentral:rRNA from 1 species